rnacentral:rRNA from 1 species
ACGCGAGCUGGGUUCAGAACGUCGUGAGACAGUUCGGUCCCUAUCCGUCGCAGGCGUAGGAAAUUUGAGAAGACCUGUCCUUAGUACGGGAGGACCGGGAUGGACGUACCUCUGGUGUAAAAGUUGGCCUGCUAAGGGCAUGGGUGGGUAGCUAUGUACGGAAUGGAUAAGCGCUGAAAGCAUCUAAGCGCGAAGCCAACUUCAAGAUAAGAUUUC